UGAUUUUUAUAUUUAGCAACAAACGAAACGAAACAAAACUUGAGCUGAAGGACGGGACAUUCUAAUUUGGAGCCUGCCCUUUAAUUGCAUCUUUAUUGCAAGUUCAUCUCUUCAUCUGUGGUUCUGCCCGGAAAAUUCGGAAGAGUCUUGCGAAUCUAUCAGUGCCACAGAGCUCUCUAUUUUCAAGAGUGAAACUCAUAUAUUUGUAUUUAAAGUAAUAAAUUAUUGUUCAGUUA